rnacentral:misc_RNA from 1 species
AAAAAAUUAAUCAUUCUAUUUUCCCCUUCCCUAUCUCUUAAAUAUUUCCUAACUACCACAUCUAUCCUCCAACUACACCUCACGUUACUUAUAUACAACCAAAAACGAAUACACCUUCCUUCUUCAUAACUAAUAAACUACGACAAAUAUACUUUCAAAAUUCAAAAUAAAAACACUUAAUAUCUAUCAUUCUUUAACAAAAAACUAAAAAAA